rnacentral:tRNA from 1 species
CGGAGCGUAGCUAACUGGUAGAGCAUUCGGUUUGGGACCGAAAGGUUGCGAGUUCAAAUCUUGUCGCUCGA